CGGGUGCUGGGGAGAAGCCUCAGGACAACAAUGAUUCUGGCUGUUCUUUACAGGCCCCAGCUGGAAAACCAGGUUGAUGCUGGGACAAAGGUGUUCUGCUCUGGAGUGCAUGUCCAUCCCAGCUCCUCUCACAGAUCCAGCCCUGCUUCCACCUCUGUGCAUUCAGUUCCAAGUCACAGACAAAACAGAUGGACAUUAAGAAAGAGAUUGAGGUAAGGAAAGAGACUGUUUGCAGAAGGAAUCAGUAUGGGCUUGUCCUUGUGCUGCUCCAUCUCCCUGGGUCCUUCUGUACAAACAGAUUUCAGAGGAGUCUACCCAUGGAUAUGAACUGAGAACCCAGUUAAAGGACCAUACUACAGAGGUUUCAGCAGAGUGCUCCCAGAAGCUCCCUUGGCACUCCAGCACUGUGCAAACACUGCCAAUGGUAGCAAUAAAU